GAAUUGACGGGGGCCCGCACAAGCAGCGGAGCGUGUGGUUUAAUUCGAUGCUACACGAAGAACCUUACCAGGGCUUGACAUGCUGGUGGUACGGACCCGAAAGGGCGAGGACCCCGCAAGGGGAGCCAGCACAGGUGCUGCAUGGCUGUCGUCAGCUCGUGCCGUGAGGUGUUGGGUUAAGUCCCGUAACGAGCGCAACCCCUGCCGUAUGUUACAUGUGUCAUACGGGACUGCCGGUGAUAAGCCGGAGGAAGGUGGGGAUGACGUCAAGUCAGCAUGGCCUUUAUGUCCUGGGCUACACACACGCUACAAUGGCCGGCACAAUGGGUAGCUAAGCCGCGAGGCGGAGCCAAUCCUCCAAAGCCGGUCUCAGUUCGAAUUGCAGUCUGCAACUCGACUGCAUGAAGGUGGAGUUGCUAGUAACCGCGCGUCAGCUAUAGCGCGGUGAAUACGUUCCCGGGCCUU
rnacentral:rRNA from 1 species